rnacentral:rRNA from 1 species
CGAACGCUGGCGGCGUGCUUAACACAUGCAAGUCGAACGGUGAAGCGCCUUCCUUUUUGGUGGGUGUGGAUGAGUGGCGAACGGGUGAGUAACACGUGAGUAACCUGCCCCCUUCUUCUGGAUAACCGCAUGAAAGUGUGGCUAACACGGGAUAUUCUGGGUCUGUCGCAUGAUGGGUCUGGGAAAGAUAUUGUUUCGGUGGGGGAUGGGCUCGCGGCCUAUCAGCUUGUUGGUGGGGUGAUGGCCUACCAAGGCGGUGACGGGUAGCCGGCCUGAGAGGGUGGACGGUCACACGGGGACUGAGACACGGCCCAGACUCCUACGGGAGGCAGCAGUGGGGAAUAUUGCACAAUGGGCGCAAGCCUGAUGCAGCGACGCCGCGUGAGGGAUGGAGGCCUUCGGGUUGUGAACCUCUUUCGCCAGUGAAGCAGGCCUGCCUCGUUUGUGGGUGGGUUGACGGUAGCUGGAUAAGAAGCGCCGGCUAACUACGUG